rnacentral:rRNA from 1 species
UAACACGUAGGUAACCUGCCCAUGUGCCCGGGAUAACUUCUGGAAACGGAUGCUAAAACCGGAUAGGUAGCAGACAAGCAUUUGACUGCUAUUAAAGUGGCUAAGGCCAUGAACAUGGAUGGACCUGCGGUGCAUUAGCUAGUUGGUGAGGUAACGGCCCACCAAGGCGACGAUGCAUAGCCGGCCUGAGAGGGCGGACGGCCACAUUGGGACUGAGACACGGCCCAGACUCCUACGGGAGGCAGCAUG